rnacentral:rRNA from 1 species
UACGUAGGCAGCGAGCGUUGUUCGGAGUUACUGGGCGUAAAGGGUGUGUAAGGCGGUUCUUUAAGUUUGGUGUGAAAUCUCCCGGCUCAACCGGGAGGGUGCGCCGAAUACUGAGGGACUAGAGUAUGGGAUGGGAAAGUGGAAUUCCUGGUGUAGCGGUGAAAUGCGUAGAUAUCAGGAGGAACACCUGUGGUGUAGACGGCUUCUGGACCAUAACUGACGCUGAGACACGAAAGCGUGGGUAGCAAACAGG